CUUUAACCUUUCCUGGUAAGUUUUUUUUAUCCCGCAAUCCAUGAACCAGUUUAGUAGCCCUUCUCUGAACCCUAUCUAAGGUAUCAAUAUCCUUCUGAAGAUACGGUCUCCAGUACUGUGUACAAUACUCCAAAUGAGGUCUCACCAGUGUUCUGUACAAUGGCAUGAGCACUCCCCUCUUUCUACUGCUAAUACCUCUCCCUAUACAACCAAG